rnacentral:lncRNA from 1 species
CUGCACAAAAUCAUCCGAAACAUUUUCGGCAAAAAUAUUAUAGACAAUCACUUGUUAGUUCUACUCAUUGUACUCGUGAUGUUGCUACCAAUAUGGUUGAAACUUUCCUUAUUGUCUCAUGCUUCGGUGAGUAGGGUAUCGACAUCUAUUAUUAUAGUUGGUUCAGUUUAUCAGUAGGUGCAUUUAAAAGUGUUUGCUUUAAAGAGGGAUGGGUCCUUUUGAGAUGGAAUGGACUACCAACUGUCAUGAGCCUAUACUCCUUCCGUUAUUGCUUCAUGCAGUUUUUUCGACUCUCUGCAGUUUCAUAAAUGAUAAAAAUCAAGUUUCCAAGGUGAGUUGUGCCAAAAAUACUACAAAAAUCGACUUGUC